rnacentral:rRNA from 1 species
UACGUAGGGUGCAGGCGUUAAUCGGAAUUACUGGGUGUAAAGCGUGCGCAGGCGGUCUGCUAAGAGAGAUGUGAAAUCCCCGGGCUUAACCUGGGAACUGCGUUUCUAACUGGCAGGCUUGAGUGUGGCAGAGGGGGGUGGAAUUCCACGUGUAGCAGUGAAAUGCGUAGAGAUGUGGAGGAACACCGAUGGCGAAGGCAGCCCCCUGGGCUAACACUGACGCUCAUGCACGAAAGCGUGGGGAGCAAACAGG